AAUCUACUCAAAGAGAGAAAACAAUCAGGGGCCUGAAAUCAUUAUAAGAACCCAACUUCAUUAUACCUGUGAAGCUACUUACCCUUUGACUGAGUUCUUCUCGUUGACGUCUCUGUCAAAAAAAGAAAAAUGGGAAACCUUCUAAAGGUUCUGCAUAUGGAAAAUCUGGUUGUUCUAACAGUUAACUGUGAAAUCUCUCAUGUAAGAGAAGCAAUUGGUUUGAGCAGUCAAAAUAAACGUUGCCUUAUGCAACGAAAGGAAUGCAACUUACUUAUCAAAUAGAACUUUCACUUUCAGGCUGUAGUUCAAUUCCUGCAAUUUCACCAGCAAUCUGGAAGGGGAAAAGAAAACAAGGAAUGACUACCACUGCAAAAGAUCGCUGCACUAGAGAGGUCUGUGCGUGGCCUUCUUUGCUUGCUUCACUACUGUAUUAGCAAGUCUUGGGCAAGUUGAGACAUUUCCUUCCGCUUCAUUGCACGUAAGAAAUCUGGACUAAUACAGUCCUUUCUUGUUGACCUUCUCUUGACUGAAGAAUAAUACCCAUUUUCUCUAACUGGAGACCAGCAGUUAAGGUAUAUGAACAGGUCUUUGGACAGCUGAGCUCUAGUCCCCAUACAGAGGGCAUGUAGUGAAUCUAAUCCUCUGCUCUGUGUCUGCUAGUCUUGAGUCUUCUGCAGCACAACCUGCUGCCCACUCUGUUUUAAGAAUGAGACAGUGAAGCUACAUGUAGCACAUUCCAGCUACAGUAACUUGAGUCAUAGAGGCGGGACACAGGUAGGGCUGCUCUCCCUGUACCGGAGACAAAAAAGAUGCAGCCAGAGCCAAAAGGAGGGACAAUCUAGUGUGUAUUUAUCUUGGACAUAGCUUGGUGUGGGUGGUUUCCUGCAUCCGUUUACUUGAGCUAGUUUGCAGGGUUGAAGUUGAAAGCAAGAAAUGGAUUGCUGGACCAGGAGUUUGAUUCUGUAAUUGAAAUACGUUGUAGCAAAGCUCCCCCCCCCCAACUUGAAUGAUGGCAGACCACAAACCCUUCCCGUGAGCCUAAACCUCUGGAAAAACAAAAAAGGAAGGAAUCUUCACAACAGUUGUUUAAUGUUUGUGACAAACUCAGGACAAUGUCAGACAAUGCCAGUUAGAGCGUGUGAAACGCAAACAGAAAGGAGGACUCCAGACCCACUCAUUCAGACAGUCGCAAGAAAGCUUUUCUAGCCUCUUACCUCUGGAUAAGCUGCUUGAAAAGACUGUGUGUUCGGUCCUGCAAAACUUGUUUGUUUUUUGUGAUAGGGUCAUGUUCAUAAGUCAGCUUCUGCUCCAGUUCCUCCAGCUUUUUGAGCUGCUGACGGACUUGCUGCAGGCUUUCAGCAAUGAUGGUGAACCUACAAUGACACAGUCCUGUUAUUUCCAGCACGUUUUCAGUGUAACGAUGCUGAGACAGUAGCAGCGUAACUGUUCCUAAGCAUGAAUGAAGACAGAACAAUUACUCAGUUUCACAUUAUGCAAGACUCUGUCUGACCAGGAUCUGCCUGCCAGCAAGCACGUACAGAAAACAGCAGCACUGAAGGCUGGAUCGCAUCUCCCUUAAAUAUUAGAUUCAACCACUUGGGCUCUGGGGAGGAAAGCGUGAAGCACAAGAACAAGAUAAGCUGCCAUAUAGGGUAAUGCAUUAUGCAGUUGAUUUCCUACAGCGUGUUAAAGGAAACCUUCAGAUCUCAGUACUGCAAGGUUUCAUUUCAGAAGCUCAUAGCAUGACUUCUCUCAGGGAGAGUUGCAGUGAUUUCAAAGACAGGGUUUUUGUUGUACUGUGUCAUUAUUAGAAACAUAUUAUUUUGCCAAUGCAGGCAACUUAGAAAGUGGCAAAGGUUCCCAACGUAACUUGAAAUGGGACUGUGAUGGCAGUCUGAGUAUUGACUAACACUGGAGUCUCUAUUUUGUUCUUAUGGUGCUUUUAAGUUUGCUUGCUUUGGGAAAUAAGAACUUUUACAAUAAAUCAGAGGGUAGGGUAUGGUGUUUUAUGUAGCACCAACAAUAUGUGGAAGAAGAUUUAUUUCCUUUUUUAAAAUUAUUAUUAAUAGAAACAUCUGGGAUGCUGAAAAGGAAGUUUUGGGUGCUUUGUGUCAUAAGCCAAUACAGAAACUGCCAGCUGCACUGCAGCUAUGAGGAAAGUAUCUGGAAAUGGCUUUGCCAGAGUUGCAUAUCUAAGGGAGCUAUUUUGGACGCAGCUGCAUUAAGAUAACUGAUGAAAGCCUGUGCUCUAAUGCUCUUAGUUCUCUCUAUAACACUGUCAAAAAUGUGCUGCAAAGUGAAGAAUUUCUGUCUCAGAACAUAACAGGCUCAGUCAGGUAUCAUUUAAUUUCAUUAGCAGGUUGGAUCUGGCUCUGUAGUUUACAUGGCUUUUCUAACUGUGGAAUUUUUUAUUGCAACACAGUUCUUGGAAGGGAAAAUCCAAACAGAUGCACUGCCAAAAUAAUGAUGAGGAGAAGAAUACGCUCUGCCUAUGGCUCAGCAGUUCAGUUUAAAACAUAAACGUAAAAUUGAGUGUAGCUGGGAAGGAAGAGUAGUAUCACUUUCCAAGGCAGUCCAGAGACCCACUAGUGCUCAGCUGCUCAAUAAACAGUAAAUCAAGAGUAAAAUGGAAAAGGAAGGAAGAAUCAAGAUCACUUUCUGGCCCUUUCCCAUCUGAAUAGCUCACGCUACUCAAACCCGCUGGUAUCCCAAGUAAUAGGAAAGGGCAGACACGACUGCAGUGGACAUUUCAAAACUA